CAUGGCUAUAGCACCCUGAAUGCACCUGAUCUCAUCUGAUCUUGGAAAUUAUGUGAGGUUGGGCCUGGUUGGUACUAGCAAGGGAGCAUUCUAUAAUUUGGAAACUAGCAUGU
rnacentral:rRNA from 1 species